rnacentral:rRNA from 1 species
GCCGGAGGAGGCAAUCGUUAUCCGGAAUUAUUGGGCGUAAAGGGUACGUAGGCGGCUGGUCAAGUCUGGGGUUAAAGGCCACAGCUCAACUGUGGGAAGGCCCUGGAAACUGACCGGCUAGAGUGAGGUAGGGGUUGCGGGAAUUCCCGGUGUAGCGGUGAAAUGCGUAGAGAUCGGGAAGAACACCUGAGGCGGAAGCGCGCAACUGGGCCUCAACUGACGCUGAGGUACGAAAGCUAGGGGAGCGAAUGGG